rnacentral:ncRNA from 1 species
GCCCCAUUGACGGAAUGAACGCAGCCCGUGAGCGAUACACGGAUGGGGC